AAUAAACGCAGCCCUGAGUUUUCGUGUUCAAUUUUGAUCAUCAGUCUUAUUUAAUUUUUUUUAUGAUUAGUAUUUUUAUUGUUAUUAGAUUAUAAAACAUGAAUAGCAUUUUAUGCGUGACUUAUGUUUUUUAGUUUUUUUUAAAAAAAAUGAAAUAAGACGGACGAUUAAAAUUGGACACAGAAACUUAUGACUGUGUUUAUU
rfam:Oryza sativa Japonica Group DNA, chromosome 3, cultivar: Nipponbare, complete sequence.